rnacentral:rRNA from 1 species
UGCGAGUCGGAACGAGAACGGGGUCUUAGCUUGCUAAGAUUGUCAGCUAAGUGGCGCACGGGUGAGUAAUAUAUAGUUAACCUGCCCUAGAGAGAGGGAUAACGUUUGGAAACGGACGCUAACACCUCAUAUGCCUUUAAGACAAAAGUCUGCAAGGGAAACAUUUAUGGCUCUAGGAUGGGACUGUACGGUAUCAGUUAGUUGGUGAGGUAAUGGCUCACCAAGACAAUGACACCUAACUGGUUUGAGAGGAUGAUCAGUCACACUGGAACUGAGACACGGUCCAGACUCCUACGGGAGGCAGCAGUGGGGAAUAUUGCACAAUGGACGAAAGUCUGAUGCAGCAACGCCGCGUGGAGGAUGACACAUUUCGGUGCGUAAACUCCUUUUAUAUAGGAAGAUAAUGACGGUACUAUAUGAAUAAGCACCGGCUAACUCCGUGCCAGCAGCCGCGGUAAUACGGAGGGUGCAAGCGUUACUCGGAAUCACUGGGCGUAAAGAGCGUGUAGGCGGAUAGGUAAGUCAGAAGUGAAAUCCAAUAGCUCAACUAUUGAACUGCUUUUGAAACUGCUUAUCUAGUAUAUGGGAGAGGUAGAUGGAAUUUCUGGUGUAGGGGUAUAAAUCCGUAGAGAUCAGAAGGAAUACCGAUUGCGAAGGCGAUCUACUGUGAACAUUAUUGACGCUGAGACGCGAAAGC